UACGAGUGCCCCAAGCGUUAUCCGGAAUUAUUGGGCGUAAAGGGUGCGUAGGCGGUCGGGUAAGUCUGAUGUGAAAUCUCACAGCUUAACUGUGAAACUGCAUUGGAUACUAUCCGGCUCGAGGAAUGGAGGGGAGACUGGAAUACUUGGUGUAGCAGUGAAAUGCGUAGAUAUCAAGUGGAACACCAGUGGCGAAGGCGAGUCUCUGGACAUUUCCUGACGCUGAGGCACGAAAGCCAGGGGAGCAAACGGG
rnacentral:rRNA from 1 species